GACGAACGCUGGCGGCGUGCUUAACACAUGCAAGUCGAACGGAAAGGCCCUGCUUUUGUGGGGUGCUCGAGUGGCGAACGGGUGAGUAACACGUGAGUAACCUGCCCUUGACUUUGGGAUAACUUCAGGAAACUGGGGCUAAUACCGGAUAAGAGCUCCUGCUGCAUGGUGGGGGUUGGAAAGUUUCGGCGGUUGGGGAUGGACUCGCGGCUUAUCAGCUUGUUGGCGGGGUAGUGGCUUACCAAGGCUUUGACGGGUAGCCGGCCUGAGAGGGUGACCGGCCACAUUGGGACUGAGAUACGGCCCAGACUCCUACGGGAGGCAGCAGUGGGGAAUAUUGCACAAUGGGCGGAAGCCUGAUGCAGCAACGCCGCGUGCGGGAUGACGGCCUUCGGGUUGUAAACCGCUUUCGCCUGUGACGAAGCGUGAGUGACGGUAAUGGGUAAAGAAGCACCGGCUAACUACGUG
rnacentral:rRNA from 1 species